rnacentral:ncRNA from 1 species
CGAUGUUCUCAGGGCGGGGUGAAAAUCCCCACCGGCGGUAAGGGUGACGUAGCCCAAGCCCGCGAGCGCCUUCUUCCCUCCCGGGAAGAAGGGUCAGCAGAUUCGGUGUGAAUCCGAAGCCGACGGUUACAGUCCGGAUGAAAGAGAACGGUU